GCUUUUUGCUUUUUCUUCUUCGCUGCUUGGGGCGGCAAAAAAGGCUGGAGCCGGCCCUGGUUGGAACCUCUGUUUGGUGUCAACUAAUGAAAAAUAUGUUAAAACACAGAGGGGUUUGGGGGGGUCAGCACUUACAUGCUGCCUUUUAACAGUUUUAACACAGAGAUAAUUCUUUGAAAAUUCUGCCCCGCGAGCCUCUGCAAGUUUAAAGGAUUUCUCUUUGCAGGGUAGUUAACAACACUACCUAUUAGCAAAUGGAAAAUUAAAGACAGCACCAACAAAGGAGCAGGAAGAUAUUCUCCAAGUGUUAUCUCUCAGCCAAUCCAAAUACUUCCUCUUGCUCCAUUUACUCAGAGGAAUUAAGAGCAGGUGAAGAUAUCACCUGUGCAGGGCAGGGACAUGCCAGCAGAUGGAACUGAGGUCCAGAGGCAUCAGGGCCAUUCAUUCUGGGUGGAGGGACUGCAGUUCCAGAGCAGACUUUGACCAGAAAUCAGGCUGAGCUCAAGCCUUGCCACCUCUAGGGCAGGUUGGAAGAUUCACUGUUUACGUAGGCAUUGCCCAGAGAAUGCUGCUGAGAGGCACCCUGACAAUGCUCUCUUGGAAGUCCACCACCAGGAUUUGACCACUAUGAGGCCGUUGACUUAAACAGAUGGAAGGGAGGAGACUUCUUCCUUGCAGAGGGUUAUUCUUCCUCAUUUUAACAGACCAGGCUCUGGAAAGAAUUCUUCAUGGCAGCAUGGCUGCUCUGAGCAAUCCGGAGCCAAAGUCAGCAGCUGCACAUAGAGGGCUCCAUGCAAACCUUUGCUGUGCUUGGGCUGAGUUUGUGAAGAAGUCAGACACCAAAUGAGUUUGUGCGGCACAGGGUUCUGCUCCAGACAAUUCGCACACCUCUAAAUAAAACUCUUC